CUGGCCGCAGGAGCUGCGGCGGCCCCGCCCCGAGCACGCGGAGCAGCCAUGGCGCCGGGCGGGCAGGCGGGCGGCGGCGGCGGCCCCGGGUCCCCCCGCGAGGGGCUGCGGGACUGGGUCCGGAGCGCCUGCCGCUUCGCCGCCGACAGGAGCGACUUCCGCAGAAACCUCAUAGUUAACCUGGGGCUUUUUGCUGCCGGAGUCUGGGUAGCCCGAAACUUGACAGACAUUGAUUUGAUGGCUCCUCAACCAGUUGCAUAGCAGUACCAGUGAGUACCUGACAUUGUGAAGGAGUCUCCCCUCCACUGCUUUAUACUACCCCUUAGAGCUGUCAACAGCCUUCCACUUCCUGUGGAUUGAGCUCCUCCCCCUCCUUUUUUCACACCUAUUUUAGUGAAGCUGUACUAGUGUGAUUUGCUCAUUACUACAUCCUUUUUUGCCAAGGCCUCAGGAUGUGAAUAAAGUGUACCUGCAUCAAGUCUGAAGAGCUUCUAAUCCCAGUGUGACAGGAUGACCAAAAUGAUGAUCAGAAGAGCUGUGUGGUUUUUGUUGCUUUUGUUCUAGGUAACUGAAAGUUCAGCAGCAGUUCUAAAAUUGUAUUUUAAUUCAAGCAUAGCUAUCAUUCCACAAUGAACAGUGAUAAGUGAGGAGAAGCCAUUUAACGCUUGAUGUUUGUUGUAUAUUCAGUUCACCCCACUGAGCUCAAUGUCUAUUAAAGUAAUCAGUUAUAUUUUCAAGACUUGUGAAGCUGUUGCAUAUUGAGUUUAAUUCUGUACCAUGUCUAGAAGCUUCUUAUUAAAUUAUCAUAAUGUGUGAAAUAAUGACA